rnacentral:rRNA from 1 species
GCUCAGAAACUUAAAGGAAGUUAGACGGGGCCCGCGACAAGCGGUGGAGCAUGUGGUUAAUUCGAUGAUACGCGAGGAACCUUACCUGGGCUCAAAUGUAUGUUGACGUAUUCUGAAAGGGAUACUUCUUCGGACAAUAUACAAGGUGCUGCAUGGUUGUCGUCAGCUCGUGCCGUGAGGUGUCGGGUUAAGUCCCAUAACGAGCGCAACCCUAUCAUUAGUUGCCAUCAGGUCAAGCUGGGGACUCUAAUGAAACUGCCUACGCAAGUAGUGAGGAAGGUGGGGAUGACGUCAAAUCAGCACGGCCCUUACGUCCAGGGCUACACACGUGCUACAAUGGCCGGUACAAAGGGCAGCUACCUGGUGACAGGAUGCUAAUCUCAAAAGCCGGUCUCAGUUCGGAUCGGAGUCUGCAACCCGACUCCGUGAAGUUGGAAUCGCUAGUAAUCGCGCAUCAGCCAUGGCGCGGUGAAUACGUUCCCGGGCCUU